GGAGCUUUGUGUUUGGUUACCGAGGAGCUCCGUGGUGAGUCACGCAGUCCUGUGACCUGCCAGGCACCUUUCCAGUCCCAGGCGGGCGAGAUUCUUGACAACACAACCUGCCGUUGUUUGAAGAGCAGAUUUCAACAGCGACCUGUACACUCGGUAAUAGUAGGCUUUGUGGGGAACAAAAUUUGUUCCUAUUCCUGCUGAAUUAACAAAACACUGGUGAUGAGAUAACACUUAGUAAGGCUGACUCACUUCCUCCUUUCCAGAUGAAAGGAGUUGUCCAAGAAAUGACUAUCUCACAGGGAAAUAAUGUUCCCUGCAGCAGGUCUCACUGGUGAUGCCACAGCAGUUCCUCCCUGAAUCUCUACUGGAUGGUCUCUUCUUUCCUAUCAGCCUCCUCACUUUGGCUUGAACUGACUCAGCAAGACCUGUCCUUCGGAAGAUGGGGCUGUCCUUAUUCAGGGAGCCCUCCCAGGAACACGA
rnacentral:lncRNA from 1 species